rnacentral:lncRNA from 1 species
CCCCAAAACCCCAGAGAGGGAAAGUUUAUCAUACUCUUUGCAACCUUCUGAUUCUAUCAGAGAGAGAGGCUCCGCCUAAUGCUAGCUAAUCUUUAACAGCCACCCUGUGACGCUUGCAAACCUUCCCUUCCUUCUGUCUCUGGCAGACUCUGGCCGGGGCUGCCCCCUCUCAAUGUUAUUCCUUGAAUUCAUCGUGAUGCCCCUUCUACCGAUGGAAUCGAAUACUGGCUUCCCAACGAUGCUGGUGACGGGAAGCUCUCUUCCUUAAUCAACCGAUUCACAGAAGUUUCGAAAACAAAGAGUAAGCCGGAAGAAAGACAAACGUUAAACAUGGGGGCGGUGUCGGCAGCGCGUCUGCGGCAGAUGGAGUUUGAGGAACACGACGAGAGAACUCUGAUUCAGCACAUCUGCC